rnacentral:rRNA from 1 species
CGCAUCUGUGCAUGCAGCAUAUCAAUAAGCGGAGGAAAAGAAACUAACAAGGAUUCCCCUAGUAACGGCGAGUGAAGCGGGAAGAGCUCAAAUUUGAAAUCUUAAAGGGUUUCCCUUUACGAAUUGUAGUUUAAAGAAGUGUUUUCUGUUGAGGUUUUGGCUAAAAGUUCUUUGGAAUAGGACAUCAUAGAGGGUGAGAAUCCCGUAUUUGACCUUUACUUUCAACUUUGUGAUACACUUUCAAAGAGUCGGAUUGUUUGGGAAUGCAGUCCAAAAUGGGUGGUAAAUUUCAUCUAAAGCUAAAUAUUGGCGAGAGACCGAUAGCGAACAAGUACCGUGAGGGAAAGAUGAAAAGAACUUGAAAAGAGAGUUAAACAGUACGUGAAAUUGUCAAAAGGGAAGCGUUUGACACCAGUGUUGUUUUUCUGAAAAUCAAUUAAAGAACUGUUUAUGCUAAGUUGUUUAGACUUUAUCAGCUAACUGUUUAGUUUUGAGCUUUUCUUUAAUGCACUUUUCAGUUAACAAGUCAACAUCAAUUUCUUUUGCUGUAAAAAAGCUUGAGGAAGGUGGCUUGAGAUUCGUCUUAAGUGUUUAUAGCCUCUUGCCUAUGCAGUCGGAGAGAUUGAGGUCUGCAGCGUAGAUCCUUCGGGGCUAAAUGCAUUUGUGCUAAGUUAUAGCAUUUUAUAGACAACUUGUUGACUAUGAUUUGUCUUGUAGCUUACUCGCUUAUGUUAUUUUACCUACGCUUAGGAUGUUGAAUCUGUGCGAGACUAC